GUGGGGAAUAUUGGACAAUGGGCGAAAGCCUGAUCCAGCAAUGCCGCGUGAGUGAUGAAGGCCUUAGGGUUGUAAAGCUCUUUUACCCGGGAAGAUAAUGACUGUACCGGGAGAAUAAGCCCCGGCUAACUCCGUGCCAGCAGCCGCGGUAAUACGGAGGGGGCUAGCGUUGUUCGGAAUUACUGGGCGUAAAGCGCACGUAGGCGGUUUUGUAAGUUAGAGGUGAAAGCCUGGGGCUCAACCCCAGAAUUGCCUUUAAGACUGCAUCACUUGAACGUCGGAGAGGUGAGUGGAAUUCCGAGUGUAGAGGUGAAAUUCGUAGAUAUUCGGAAGAACACCAGUGGCGAAGGCGGCUCACUGGACGACUGUUGACGCUGAGGUGCGAAAGCGUGGGGAGCAAACAGGAUUAGAUACCCCUGUAGUCC
rnacentral:rRNA from 1 species